GACAUCGCAUGGCUGUACCACCUUGUCGGAUAGCUUAUCAGACUGAUGUUGACUGUUGAAUCUCAUGGCAACAGCAGUCGAUGGGCUGUCUGACAUUUUGGUAUCUUUCAUCUGACCAUC
rnacentral:precursor_RNA from 7 species